rnacentral:rRNA from 1 species
UACGGGGGGGGCAAGCGUUGUUCGGAAUUACUGGGCGUAAAGGGCUCGUAGGCGGCCAACUAAGUCAGACGUGAAAUCCCUCGGCUUAACCGGGGAACUGCAUCUGAUACUGGAUGGCUUGAGAUUGGGAGAGGGAUGCGGAAUUCCAGGUGUAGCGGUGAAAUGCGUAGAUAUCAGGAAGAACACCCGUGGCGAAGGCGGCUCUCUGGGACGGUACUGACGCUGAGACGCGAAAGCGUGGGGAGCGAACAGG